rnacentral:rRNA from 1 species
GGGGGGGGGUGCCUAUACUGCAAGUCGAGCGGACCGACGGGAGCUUGCUCCCUUAGGUCAGCGGCGGACGGGUGAGUAACACGUGGGUAACCUGCCUGUAAGACUGGGAUAACUCCGGGAAACCGGGGCUAAUACCGGAUGCUUGAUUGAACCGCAUGGUUCAAUCAUAAAAGGUGGCUUUUAGCUACCACUUACAGAUGGACCCGCGGCGCAUUAGCUAGUUGGUGAGGUAACGGCUCACCAAGGCGACGAUGCGUAGCCGACCUGAGAGGGUGAUCGGCCACACUGGGACUGAGACACGGCCCAGACUCCUACGGGAGGCAGCAGUAGGGAAUCUUCCGCAAUGGACGAAAGUCUGACGGAGCAACGCCGCGUGAGUGAUGAAGGUUUUCGGAUCGUAAAACUCUGUUGUUAGGGAAGAACAAGUACCGUUCGAAUAGGGCGGCACCUUGACGGUACCUAACCAGAAAGCCACGGCUAACUACGUGCCAGCAGCCGCGGUAAUACGUAGGUGGCAAGCGUUGUCCGGAAUUAUUGGGCGUAAAGCGCGCGCAGGCGGUUUCUUAAGUCUGAUGUGAAAGCCCCCGGCUCAACCGGGGAGGGUCAUUGGAAACUGGGGAACUUGAGUGCAGAAGAGGAGAGUGGAAUUCCACGUGUAGCGGUGAAAUGCGUAGAGAUGUGGAGGAACACCAGUGGCGAAGGCGACUCUCUGGUCUGUAACUGACGCUGAGGCGCGAAAGCGUGGGGAGCGAACAGGAUUAGAUACCCUGGUAGUCCACGCCGUAAACGAUGAGUGCUAAGUGUUAGAGGGUUUCGCCUUAGUGCUGCAGCAACGCAUUAAGCACUCCGCCUGGGGGAGUACGGUCGCCAGGACCUGGA